GAGGAAUAGUGAUUUCUAGAUCUGGAGAGCCCUCCGUAGGCAGGCCGCCGGCAUUGCUUUCCUUCCUCAUCCUAAUUUCUCACCACAGACCUGGGAACUGUUGCCUCCGGUUCACAGUCUCGGGGACAAACAGACCCAGAGAGCCCAGAAAGCCCUGGUAAGUUUUUUGCGGGUUUCACAGCAGGAGGGGAAGACCUGCUAACUGGCUGCCUCCAGAGGGCCUCAUAGGGUCUAUUUAAGCUCUCGCCACUCACCCACAUUCGGGUCCUUCGCCAACCUGGUUUAGAAACCAGGCUGUUCUCCUCCUCGUCCUCCUGGGCCGAGGUUUGAAGUCCGGGCCUUGUGUAUGCUAGGCAUGCGUUCUACCCUUGGGCCACCCCAUCCCCACCCCAGCCCAGUGGUGCCAGGGCAGUGGAGUAGGUUUUGGAGAAAUCAAAGAAAGUAACUGCAGACAGCUCGGGAGAAGAGUCCUGGAGUACUGGGGCAAGUCUGGAAGAGAUGAGCGGCUGCUCCGAGAAGAGUCCAGUGGGGACAGGCCGACAGUGGUGUUUUGUCCAGUGGCGGCAGGAUGGAGGAGGUGACAUGUGCUUUCCACAACUACCCUCAAUAACGUGUCUAUCCUCAGAGAGGGAAGGUGUGUGUGUUUGUGUGUGUGUGUGUGUAUUAGAAUAUAUUUAUUAGAAUAUAUAUAUUCUAUUAGUUAUACAUGACAGCAGAAUGCAUUUUGACACAUCAUACAUAAAUGGAGUAUAACUUCUCUUUCCUCUGGUUGUACAUGAUGUAGAAUUACACAGGUCAUGUAAUCAUAUAUGCACAUAGGAUAAUGAUGUCUGAUUCAUUCUACUAUCAUUCCUACCUCCAUGCCCCCUCCUCUCCCCUCACUCCCCUCUGUUCAAUCCAAAGUACCUUCAUUCCCACGUUCCCUAUUGUGAAUUAGCAACGAAUAUGAGAGAAAACAUUUGACCUUUGGUUCUUUGGGAUUAGUUUGUUUGGCUCAGCAUGAUAUUCUCCAGUUCCUGCCAUUUACCUGCAAAUGCCACAAUUUCAUUCUUCUUUUAAGGCUGAGUAAUAUUCCAUUGUGUAUAUACACCUUAUCCAUUCAUUUGUUGAAGGGCAUCUAGGUUGGUUUCAUAGUUUAACUAUUGUGAAUUGAGCUGCUAUAAAUAUUGAUGUGCCUGUGUCACUAUAGUAUACUGAUUUUAAGUCCUUUGGUAUAAACCUAGGAGUGGGGUGACUGGGUCAAAUGGCAGUUCCAUUUCAAGUUUUCCUAGGAAUCUCAGAGAGGGGUUUUACACCUGAGGCUGCAGAAGCAGUGACAUAUCAGCAUCAGCUUAUUUAGUUUGUUUGUGUGACCAGCAUCCCAAGGAGCAACGGUCCCAGUGUACAGGCAAGAAAGUAACUUUCUUCAGAUAACACUGACUUGCCCUAGUUUCCAGGGUGCACAAGAGAAAGUCAUGGUCUCCCUUCUAGAUAGCAUGUAUCUGGACUUUCCCACCCAGGCUUGCUCUCAUUGUUUCCUUAACUUGGCUGUUUUGGGAACAGAAAGGGGGUGUUCAGGACAUGGUGUUUUACUGUCUCCCUUUUCUUUAGGAAUGAUACAUUUUCAAUGCUUUUUUUUUUCCACAAAUUAUAUUUUAAACUUAUGAUGGGCUCCUAUGGAUGUAACCUCAUUGUAAGUCAAAGAGCAUUUAUACUUAGAUAAAUAAUGACUUAAUUAGAACUUGAAUUGACUGUGUUGGGCUGGGUUAUUUUACAGUAGCAAACAGUUCCUCAGUCUCAUGGAUUAUUUUUUACCCAAGGCUGCAUGCCCAGGUAAGGCAGCCGGGCUCUGUCAGCAAAGGGACUCAGGUAUGCAGGCUGCCACGUGCUCUGCUAAUCUGUCACAAGGAAAAAUUGUGGCCAACAUAUGCUGGAUCUAAAAACUUUGGGCCCCAAGAAAACUUUAGGCUCAUUAUUUUUUUUUCCCAGUAUGAGGAUUGAACCCAGGAAAGUUCUACCACUGAGUUAUGUCCCCAGCCCUUUUUAUUUUAUUUAGAGAUUGGCUCUUCCAAGUUGCCCAGGCUGACCUCAAACUUGUGAUCCUCCUGCCUCAGCCUCCCAAAUAUUUAGGAUUAAAGGCAUAUACCUGCACCUGGCGAGAAUGGGACUAUUACCAGACACAUUAUGGUAAUGGAUGUGGGUGGGCACUAGAAAAUUAUGAUUUUAAAAUAAUUUUUUAAAAAGGUGGUGGGUGGGGGCUAGGGCGGUGGUUCAGCGGCAGCGCACUUGCCUGGCAUGUGUGAGGCAGUGGGUUUGAUUCUCGGUACCGCCUAUGAACAAAUACAUAAAAUAAAGAUGUAUCAACA
rnacentral:lncRNA from 1 species